rnacentral:misc_RNA from 1 species
GAAAUGCGAUACUUGGUGUGAAUUGCACAGUGCCGUGAACCAUCGAGUCUUUGAACGCAAGUUGCGCCAGAAUUGCAGGACCCUGAAUUUUGUCACCUCACGGCGACAAAACCGUUGCGACCCCAGGUCAGGCGGGGCUACCCGCUGAGUUUAA